rnacentral:rRNA from 1 species
CGGAGGGUGCAAGCGUUAUCCGGAUUCACUGGGUUUAAAGGGUGCGUAGGCGGGCUUGUAAGUCCGUGGUGAAAUCUCUGAGCUUAACUCGGAAACUGCCAUGGAUACUAUAGGCCUUGAAUUCUGUGGAGGUUUGCGGAAUAUGUCAUGUAGCGGUGAAAUGCUUAGAUAUGACAUAGAACACCGAUUGCGAAGGCAGCAGGCUACACAGCGAUUGACGCUGAGGCACGAAAGCGUGGGGAUCAAACAGGAUUAGAUACCCUGGUAGUCCACGCCCUAAACGAUGAUUACUCGACAUUCGUGAUACACAAUAAGUGUCUGAGCGAAAGCAUUAAGUAAUCCACCUGGGAAGUACGACCGCAAGGUUG